GACGAACCGUGCGAACGUUAUUCGGAAUCACUGGGCUUAAAGCGCGUGUAGGCGGGACGGCACGUCGGUCGCUGAAAGCCCCCGGCUCAGCCGGGGAACGGGCGCCGAUACGACCGUCCUGGAGGGACGUAGGGGGACCUGGAACAUCCGGUGGAGCGGUGAAAUGCGUUGAGAUCGGAUGGAACGCCCGUGGCGAAGGCGGCCUUCUGGACAGUGACUGACGCUGAGACGCGAAAGCGUGGGGAGCAAACAGG
rnacentral:rRNA from 1 species